AUACAAUCUAACUGGUCUUUUUAGCAAUAUUGUGAUAUGUUCAGAUCUUAGUUUUUUGCAGUUGAGAGGCUUAAUAUUUAAAGUUGACAUAAUCAAUGAAUCCAUAUUUACCCUACUAGUUACCAAUUAAUUUCUUCACUUUCUAUCCCACCCCCCUUCAGUAGUGAUUAAUUAUUUUGUAAUUUCGGUUCAGAAGAAUCUAAGUAAAUAAUUGCUAAGAAUUCAUAACUUGAUAUUCUGCUACUAAGGGUUAAGGUCCACUAAUCCACAUUAAUUCUUUAAAAAUUGUAUAAACACCAAAGAGUAGGAGGCCCUGAUAAGACACUAUUGUAGAUAUCAUAUAAUAAAACUAAGUUAAGGUCAUGUUGACCCAUAGUGUUAGAGAACGCCAUCUACUAAGCACAAAAGGAAACAAAUUGUCACAUUUUAUUCUUUCAGUGGCUGUAAAGGGAAGAAGAUAUUUGGAGGAACAGGAUUAUAAAACAUUAAAAUGACUAGGAAGAAAGACCGUUAGUUAAAGAUAUACUGUAAUUCAGACCCAGCCUGAACAAUAGCUCUUCUCUUUUGAUUCUGCAUAUUUAUAAUUAUAGAAAUAACAGUUCUCCCUCCAUCAGCCCUCCCCUGCCAUCUCCAACAGGUACAAAGCCAGUUUUUUAAAAAAAUCUUAAAAAACGAUUCAUGCUUUCACUUCCUUUUUUUCUUUCCACCUAGUUCCUCUGAAAAAUGUAAAAAGGUAGCUGAAACAUCUAGUACAAUGAGUUCUACAUGGUGGGCCCACAUCACACCACAGUUGUUGGGUUAUUCCACAGAAGAUUACUCUGAGGAAAAUGGACCAUUUUUCUUCAUAGACUUUUUCUGAAAGAACAUAUUCCCUUUUUCAUCUUGAAUAUUAAAAAAAAAAAACAAAAAACAAAAACGAAACCCAUCAGGUGUGUAUUUGUUUUAACUAUUUGCUCACGGGUUGAAAUGACUACUGCUUGUUCAUGGAAAAAGUUACUUAAUUUUCUCAGCUACAUAAACAGUCAAAUGAUAAUCUAUGUGUAAUUUUAGGAAACUAUAAAUGGUCUUGGGCAUUGAGUAUCCAGUAAGUAGGAAGUUAAGACUAUCACAAGCUGGAAAGUUUUCAAAUAUAUACCAACCCUGAUUUAAUGGAGAUUCCACAAAAAGGUUGAUUUUGUAUAUAGUCUUCUAGUAGCUGAGGUCAGAAAGAGAAAAAAAGAAGUCUUUGAAACAAUGCUUGCUCAAUAUUUAAAGUCCGUUGAGCCAGAUGGCCAUGGAGCAGACUGAGGCACAUUUACCUUUUGUCUUCUUUAUGUUAUGGCUUCUG
rnacentral:lncRNA from 12 species